UGUGGGCUAGCUCAACUGGCAGAGCGCCUGACUCUGAAUCAGGAGGUUGUAGGUUCGAGCCCUACGCCCACAG
rnacentral:tRNA from 2 species